rnacentral:lncRNA from 1 species
CCGCCGCCGCCCCGGCUGCCGGCUUCGCCAGGCAGACCUACUGCCUGGCGUCCCGUGUCUUUUUAUACUUGGGAGUUUCCCCGUUCUGUGGGCAACAAAGAUCAGUCUGGAAAUGCAGCACUGACUCACUGUUUGCGGAUUCAACGCGGGCUCCAAUCCUGGGUUGUUCUCACAGCGCCAUCUUGAGUCCCCUCCCUUCAACCAGGAUAUCUCUCAAUAGGUUGGGACCCUCUUGCUGGCCAAGAGCCCCCCGGCAGAUGUGCCAGCCUCCACAGUUUGGCGACCAUGAAGGGACUGGAAAUUGGGGAUUUCAGUGACGCUUAAACAGUGAGAGACCACGGUAGUGUACCCAACAUAACUGAAAGCAGAGACUCGGACAUUUGGACACCAAUGUUCAUAGCAGCAUUAUUCACAAUAGCCAGAAGGUGAAAACAACUCGAAUGUUCAUCGAUGGAUAAAUGGUUAGACAACGUAUGGUAUAUAUUUUCUCCCUGUAAAAUAAAGGGUCAAAACUCCCAUCACACUGUGCAUGGUAAAUACAUACAAGUUUAUAUGUCAAUUAAAAAUAUAUAAAUAAGCCGGGUGCGGUGGCUCAAGCCUGUAAUCCCAGCACUUUGGGAGGCCGAGGUGGGUGGAUCACGAGAUCAAGAGAUCGAGACCAUCCUGGUCAACAUGGUGAAACCCCGCCUCUACUAAAAAUACAAAAAAUUAGCUGGGCAUGGUGGUGCAUGCCUGUAAUCCCAGCUACUCGGGAGGCUGAGGCAGGAAAAUUGCUUGAACCCAGGAGGCGGAGGUUGUGGUGAGCCGAGAUCACACCAUUGCACUCCAGCCUGGGUAACAAGAGUGAAAAUCCAUCUCAAAAAAAAAAAAAAAAAAAAAAAUAUAUAUAUAUAUAUAUAUAUACGUAUACAUGUAUACGUAUAUAUAUAUAUAUAUAUACAGUUUUAAAAGAUUUUAGAUAAUGAAAAGGAUAUAUAUAGAUUGAAACACAUACAAAGAGCUUAUAUAGAAUCUAUGUGACAUUAUAUGUGAAAGAGAUAACAAAUAAUACUAAGUACUUGUUA